rnacentral:tRNA from 1 species
GGCCAGAUAGCUCAGUUGGUAGAGCAGAGGACUGAAAAUCCUUGUGUCGCUGGUUCAAUCCCGGUUCUGGCCA